GACGUAGGGCGCGAGCGUUGUCCGGAUUUAUUGGGCGUAAAGAGCGUGUAGGCGGCUAGAUAGGUCCGUUGUGAAAACUCGAGGCUCAACCUCGAGACGUCGAUGGAAACCAUCUGGCUAGAGUCCGGAAGAGGAGAGUGGAAUUCCUGGUGUAGCGGUGAAAUGCGCAGAUAUCAGGAAGAACACCGGUGGCGAAAGCGACUCUCUGGACGGCAACUGACGCUGAGGCACGAAAGCGUGGGGAGCAAACAGG
rnacentral:rRNA from 1 species